GAUGAACGCUGGCGGCGUGCCUAAUACAUGCAAGUCGAGCGAACGGACGAGACGCUUGCUGCUCGGUUGUUAGCGGCGGACGGGUGAGAAACACGUGGAUAACCUACCUAUAAGAGUGGGAUAACCACGGGAAACCGGAUCUAAUACCGGAGAAUAUUUUGAACCGCAGGGGUCAAUAGUGAAAGACGGUGUUUCUGUCUGUUAUAGAUGGAUCCGCGCUGUAUUAGCUAGUUGGGAAGGUCACGGCUUACGAAGGCAACUAUGCGUAGACGACCUCAGGGGGUGAUAGGCCACCCUGGAACUGGGCCGCCGACAAUACUACUACGGGACGCAGCAGUAGGGAAUCUUACGCAAUGGGCGAAAGCAUGACGGAGCAAGGGCGCGUCAGUGAUGACGGUCUUCGGAUCGUAAAACUCUGUUAUGAGGUAAGAACAGAUGUGUACGUAACUGUGCACAGCUUGACGGUACCUAAUCAGAAAGCACCGGCUAACUACGUG
rnacentral:rRNA from 1 species